rnacentral:rRNA from 1 species
AACGAACGCUGGCGGCGCGCCUAAUACAUGCAAGUCGAGCGAGAAGACGUAGCAAUACGUUUGUAAAGCGGCGAACGGGUGAGGAAUACAUGGGUAACCUACCCUCGAGUGGGGAAUAACUAGCCGAAAGGUUAGCUAAUACCGCGUACGCUCCUUGGACUUCGGUUCAGGGAGGAAAGCGAUACCGUGGGUAUCGCGCUCUUGGAUGGGCUCAUGUCCUAUCAGCUUGUUGGUGAGGAACGGCUCACCAAGGCUUCGACGGGUAGCUGGUCUGAGAGGACGAUCAGCCACACUGGCACUGCGACACGGGCCAGACUCCUACGGGAGGCAGCAGUAAGGAUAUUGCGCAAUGGGCGAAAGCCUGACGCAGCGACGCCGCGU